rnacentral:rRNA from 1 species
AUUGAACGCUGGCGGCAGGCCUAACACAUGCAAGUCGAGCGGAUGAAGGGAGCUUGCUCCUGGAUUCAGCGGCGGACGGGUGAGUAAUGCCUAGGAAUCUGCCUGGUAGCGGGGGAUAACGUCCGGAAACGGGCGCUAAUACCGCAUACGUCCUGAGGGAGAAAGUGGGGGAUCUUCGGACCUCACGCUAUCAGAUGAGCCUAGGUCGGAUUAGCUAGUUGGUGGGGUAAAGGCCUACCAAGGCGACGAUCCGUAACUGGUCUGAGAGGAUGAUCAGUCACACUGGAACUGAGACACGGUCCAGACUCCUACGGGAGGCAGCAGUGGGGAAUAUUGGACAAUGGGCGAAAGCCUGAUCCAGCCAUGCCGCGUGUGUGAAGAAGGUCUUCGGAUUGUAAAGCACUUUAAGUUGGGAGGAAGGGCAGUAAGUUAAUACCUUGCUGUUUUGACGUUACCAACAGGAUAAGCACCGGCUAACUUCGUG